UGCAAUCAGUGAUGAUGCUCUAAUUACUUGCUGAUUUGUAGUGAUUAUUUUAAAAUUUUCACCAUCUUUCGACUGAGAUUGCA
rnacentral:snoRNA from 1 species